AACCUUCCAUUAUAAGUAUAAUGAAGUAUAAAAGUAACUAAAUGUUUUCAUAAAAUUCCCAAUCUUAGUUACUUAGGCAAAAGUGAAUUGAUGCAAUUCCAUGAAAUUACACUUUGUGCCCUUGCGAAGACGUUAGUGGAGCGUGUGUGGUUUACCGGCACACUAAAUGGUUCUAAGCAAAGGUAGCAAAGGGUGACUCAAUGUUUGUCAUAGUUCGGUGGAGCGUGUGUGGUUUACCGGCACAUCGAAUAGGUGACUGUAACAUGUGAGGGCACCAUGUAAGUUUGCAUGGUUAUUCACACCCGCUUUGUGAUCCUCGGCAUCCCAGUCACAAACAAGAGGGGCAUAUCGAGAUUUAAACAUGCCAUUGAAAUGUUCAAUGAAUCUCAAAGGAUCUAGGAGUUUUCAUAGAUUUAAAACUUAAAUUUCUUUUUCGUUUUUCAUGGUGGAAAUUAGUGAAUCGUCAUUCACUUACCUUCAAAUGUUCUGCAAUUUGGGUUACGGCAUCCCUCUCCCGAGUUGUAGAAUAUUGUGUUGGGUCCUAGCCUUAGUAUCUCAUUUGGGUGAUUUACUAAGGACUCAAUCAAUCAACUAACUUGAAUUCGUUUUCUCCCGUUUUGUAGAUGUCAAAGUUCGACAACUAUGGUCUUCCCAAAUCCCGUGGAACAAGCAUUCCACAUGAAGAUGAUAUUCCACGAUUCGAUCGAGGAACAAGAAAUCAUGCUUCACUUCCUCCACCUCCUCCAAUUAUUCUCCCUAACCCACAAGUUCAAAGGCUUGAAAAGUUCAAGAUCACUCAAGCCCUUUUGGCAAGUAAACAUAAAGAAGGAAAGUCGGUGUGUGCACACGUCCUAGGGAUGAAGUCACACAUUGAUAGGUUAAGAAUGUUGGGAUCCGUUGUCUGUGAGGAAAUGGCUGUUGAUUGGGUUCUUCAGUCACUUCCUAACUCAUAUAGUGAGUUCGUAAGAGAGUACUAUAUGAUGAACCGCGACGUGACCCUUAUAGAUCUCACCUAUAUGCUUAUUGCUGCUGAAUCAGCAAUGGUUUGGCGCAAUAGAAAAGCAAAGUUGAUUGGUGAAUCUGCCUUCAAGACCUCUAUGGAUAUAGACAAUGGCAACGAAAGACAUGCUAUGAUCGAAAAGUUUGAUCAUAAGAGAAAGGCAAUGUCUGAAGUAGUUCCAUGUCAUGUUCCAAAAGAGUCAAUUUGCUUUUAUUGCCAAGAGAAAGGGCAUUGGAGACGAAGCUGCCCCAUUUACCUAAGAGAUCUAAGAGAUGGGAGAGUCGAAACGUAUGGCUCUAAUAUAGGUAAAAUCCAUUAACUAACUCUUUUAAGCUUCUAUUCUAGAUUCUUAAUACAUAAUGUGAUAAGAUUACAAUUGAUGUUUUGUAGGAUCGAAGAAAAGAAAGGAAGCUUAAGGGAAGAAGUGAGCAGAAUCUAACCGUGAAGGAAUGGAUUUCGAUCGCAUUUCUCGAAGAUUAGAUUCUUGAGCUACUACUUAGAGUUAGAAUUAGAUUGCUAAGAAAGAUGUAUUAGCAUAAGUUUUUCAAUGAGUUGCAUUGUAAGGACAAAUUUUUCCGCAAUAAAAUAAAUUUUGAUUUUAAAUUUUAUUUAUUUAUCCUUACAAUGGCGUGUAUGAAAAAUUGAUGUUAAAAUGUUUCUAUUAUUAGCAAUAAUGGAUUUGGUUCUUAUUAUGUUAUUUAUGGAAAGUCGAGAAUUUACCAAAUAGGGAGAGUUUCUCAUCGCCCAAGUUUCAAUUGGACAGAAACUUGGAAUCAUGCAACUUGGUUGCACGAUGAAUGAGAAAUUUCAUAUUUGGAAAUUAGACUAAUUCAUUGACAAAGUGUCAAGUGAAGGACUAGGAGAUCGAGUACACAAAGUUGCGUGUUGAUCAAGUCCACCAUAAGAGUAACAAAGAUAUUCGUCAUGAUUUACUAAAGGUUUAGUAAAUAUGAUUAUACUUAUAAGAUUAAGUGUAAUUCUGAAUUGAUUGAAAAGGUUUAAAUCAAUAGCAGAACGAAUAAGAAGAAUCAAGUAGGCAGAAAGAUAAAAGUUUCUCCAUUCUAAGAAGAAGGGAGAGUACCUUUUAUGCUUUAUGAUAGGUCUUAAUGAUUAAGAACCAUAUCUCAAUUGAUCCUCUAAGUGAGUCUUAGUACAAUUGUAUGUCUAAGAAGAGGAAUCAAGAAUUGAAGAAAUGGUUAAAUCAAUAAGUCAAUCAUACUUCGUUCCAAAAACAAGUCUUAAAGUUAAGAUUGUGACAUUGAGUGAAAAGUAUUAAGAAGGUUUAUAACAUUCAUCAAAUGUGGAAAGUUGUGAUGUCUUGGAUAAGACAAAGACCAACUAGGACCAAUUUAUGAAGUGUUUUGAUAAAAGCUACACUAACUCUUGAAUAUUUGUUUGUCAAGAAAUGGUUAUUGACAAGAGAAUCUUAUAUGUCAAGGAGUCAGUGGGAGUCUUAAUGGUCUUGAAAGGUUUCAAGAACAAAUCAAAUAAACCUUAUCGAUCAUCACUAGCACACGAGUUGAGGUUUACAACCUAUCGUGUUGACAUUAUUUUGAUUCUGUGCCAAUCCAAUCGAGUUAAUUAUGCAUGUGAGUUCUAUGAGUUCUCAUUUUGAACGCAUAAAAGGCAAAGCACCUUAAUCAAUGAAAGGUACAUUGAUAGGAAAAGGUGAGCUGCUUAACUACUUGGAAGACAUGGUGGGCAGCUGUGCUACCAUAAGGCAAGAAAUCAAGAUUAAGAAAGUUCGGUCCAUAUGAGUUUGAAUUUGUCGUAAACUUUGGUUUUAACAAAUUCACAUGGAUAGGAACACAUACACCGUUUAAAUCUAAGUGUCAUAAGAUUUCCUCCUUCAUGAAAAUGAUUGUGAGGAAAUGCUUUCACUAAGAAAGAUUUUAAGAAGAUAGUGAUUGUAAAAUUGCAUUCUCGAAUUCAAUUAUGGUUACGGCAUCCCUUUCCAUAAUUUGAAUUGUGAGGUUUGGCAAUUAGUCUUAAUUGUUUAGACACACAUAUGAACUAUCGAAGGCAAAGGUGUAUAAGUUCAAGAAGCCUUGAUAAAAGAUUAUCAAAGCACUAAGUAUUAGAAACAUGAACUUAAGAAAUUCAAUAAGCAUUGUUUUUCUGAAAGUUAAGAUGUUUAUGAAUACAUGUCGAAGCUAGUGGGAGCAUAAGUGUUAAGUUUUAUAAUAAUCAUCAUGAUAGUGGGAGCAUAAAAGUUAUGAUUGUAUGAUUAUUAAGGAAAGUAUUGCAAGGUUAGCAAUAUUAAUUAUAGAAAACAAGAGUCAUACUUUGCAAAGUUGUAAGAGUUGAAAAGUUGUUUUGCUAUAAUUAAGGGAGAGAAUAUUAUGCUUCAUUUCAAAUCUAAAGGAUUAGGUUGAGAAAUGUUAAUAAAUUUAGUCAAAGGUACAUAGUGUGUUCUUAAAAUUUCGAUUAUGAUUACGGCAUCCCUCUUCACAAUUCGAAUUUUGAGAACAUAGCAAAUAAAACAUUAUGCGUCGUGUCCCAUACGCUUCGGGUAUAGGAUCGAUUGCAAAUGCUUUAAUGUUUGACCAUUCUAAAAUUUUCCAAAUGUCUAGCGCAUUUAGAGGGAAAAGGGACUAGAAUCGGUUUUGACUAAAAUAAUUAAACAACUAUCAAAGGACAAUCCAAAGUUCGACGAGGAUUGGUCGCUUGUGAGUAGUUGGAAGUAUAGUAUUGGAAAAUAUGGAAAUGUUUCCAUAUUGGAUGGACCAUAUCGACAUUAUUAUGAAUAGAUAAGAUUCUAUUAAGAAUGAGUUGUCAUAUGGAAAAUAUGGAAACGUGUCCAUAUUGGGAAUUGAAUAUUGAAAAUCUAUGUCUAGAUUAGAAACUUUUAUGCAAAAGGAUGUUCAAAGGAAUGUACUUUGAGUGAGAGACAUCAUAUCUAAGGAAUUGUAUUGUAACAAUCUCCGAUAGAGGACUUUGUAAUAUCAUUGGCAAUAGUCUUUGUGACUUUGGUGCAGUGACAUUACGAAAGGAUCAUUGCAUAAAAUGUUAGAAUCUAGCAUAUUCUAUAAGUAGCAAGAAUUUGAUAUUCUUUCACUUAUGAAAAAGGAUUUGGAGUUGUGAAAUGAGAAUGAUUGGAAAUGUGUUCAAUUUGAUCUAUUUCACAAAGUAAGAACCAUAGGUAAACAUUGUGUGCAUGCUAAGAGCAUGGGACAAGUGUAAUAAUUCAAGUAAGAAGUUGAUUACCCGAAACAACAAAUAAUGAGUAAUCGAUAUGGUGAUAAAUAAAAGGUGUUUUAUUUAUACUCAAAGGUUUGAGGCCAUAUGGGAUUAGUAUUAUUCUUGUGUUUCACUUUGCAUGUUUUGACUUCCUGAAUAAUUUAAUUGGUUAAGAACAGUCGAAUUAUUCGAACGGGCCACAGUCGUUCAUAUGUUGGAAGUAGGUAUGAAUGAAGACUGUCGUGAAUUGGUGUGUGGAUUGUCUAAAGAGUAUUAGACAUAAGCAAAUGUUUGCUGCAACGUUCAUGAGUGCUUAUGAAUAUGAUUUGAGCAUUGGAUUAAACCCACGCUCACUUGGAUCACUCCAUGAAUUGUAUCACGAGUGAUUGGUGAGACGAUAACAUCUUAUAUUCUUGAAACCGAGAUGUGUGAGUUGUAUCUUGCAAAUCGGUUGCACAUUGAUAAUAUGUAAACGCACCAGUAACUUGGUGUUAUAAAACAUAUUGUUGUGUGUGAUUCGGUGAGUGAGUGCAAGCGAGCAUUGAAUCAAAGUUUAUCCGUUCCUUUUAUCCAAAGUAGGAUAAAAGCGAUAUCUUUGGGCCCCUCGAUGAUUUAGUGAUGACAAACGUAAAUGCUCGGCCGGGCUAGGGCUAAUUUGAUUUGUUCAAUUAGUCAGUCGUCAUAAAUCGGAAGUCGAGAAAUAGUACAGAGAGAAUGAUUAGAAAUCAUGUCUCAUACGAUAUCUAGAAUGGAGGAAUAUAUGAUCCCUUAUCUAAAGGACACGCGUAUCUGAUAGGAUCAGAGUUGACAGCGGCUUUGGAAAGCUACGAUUGCAGAUCAGGAUCUGAAGUCAUACGCAGAAUAGUUAUUAGACUUAUCCAAGUGGGAGACUGUUGGAUUAGUGUCUAAGUCCAUAACUAUUUUGGUAUGUACUUGACCCGAUGGUGCAUGGUCCUUUUGGGUUGCCUUCACCAAAGCAACUUGAUAGGAUGAAUUAUGGAGAGAAAGGAUUAAAUAUGAUUUAUUAAUAUAUUAUGAGAAUAAUAUAUUAAAGGAGAAAUCAUAUUGUUUAAUUAAUAUUAGUCAAGAAUUAAUAAGAAUUAAGUUUGUGACUAAAAGAGAUUAAUUAAACUUAAGGGACUGGAAUUGUAAUUAUAAGAUAAUUGCAAUUGGGCUAUGGAUUGCCUUAUAUUAUAAGGUUGGACGAAUUCUAUGGGGAAACCCAUUAGAAAUCGUCCAAGGCCUUUAAGGAAAGGAGUCCAUGGGUUGCUUAGGGCUUAAGCAUCCAAAUUAGGGUUUCCUUGUUAGAUAACCCUAAUAGCCUCACUAUUUAAAGAGCCCUUAUGCCCCAAAAACGUGGACAAGCUUUCUUCUAGGGUUUCCACACGUUUUGGGCAGCCUCCUUCUCUUCUCUUCUUCAUCCUCUUGCUCUUGGUGUUUGUGAACCAUUAGAGGAGUGACAUUUGUGACUCUAAGCUUUCUAAAGUCAAUACAAGGAGGAUUUGAGAUUGUUAUUGCUACAUAACAAUCAAGGUAUGAUCUAAACCCUAAUUUAUAUGUUAUAUUGAUUAUCAUAUGCUAGAUCUAGGGUUUAUAGUCUUGGAUAAAUUGCAUGUACAAUAGAGAAACCUAGAUCCAAGCAUUAGGGUUUGUAUGAGCACAUAGGAUGUUCUUAUGACUAAAACCCAUCAGUGGUAUCAGAGCCUUGAUUGGUUUCUAUUGUAUUGAUGUCUUGUAUGUUUGUUCAAGUUGAAAAAUUCGAUUUUUGUGAAUCUGCCUGAUGAACUCGGCGAGUCCCAUUGUGGACUCGGCGAGUAGGCCCCUACUCGGCGAGUCCAUAGGGGUACUCGGCGAGUUCGAGCGUCAGAAAGAGGGGAUUUCGGGAUUUCUUGCUGUUUUACUCAUGGAUACUUGCCUUAUCUGUUUUAGAUCAUUAAAAUCCGAUUUUAUACAUAUUUAUGAGUAUAUCCUUGAUUAAACAAAAGAUAAUUACCAAUUGAUUAGAUAAUAACUUCCUUAUAUGAUAAAAUUUGAUUAUUUGUAUUAAUUGGGUAACUUAUUUUGCAAGAAAUUGAAAUUAGGUCAAAUAUAGAUAAUGAUGAAAUUAAUUGUUUAAUUUAUAUUAUUUGUUAUUUGAUCAUUGUGUUAUGAAAAGUUUCAAUUUUCCCCUUUAGGUUUUAUAGUUUAAAUUUGAACUCAAAAGUUUAGUUUUGAAAUUUAAAUAGUUGAAACCCUAAUGUUUUGAAAAAGGUUUCAAAACUUGCCCUCAAGUUUUGGAAUUUAAAUUUUGAUUAAUAGUUUAAUUUUGAUGUAUAUUUAAAUUCUAAACCCUAAUGUUUUGAAAUGUUUCAAAACUUGCCCUCAAGUUUUGGAAUUUAAAAGUUGAUUAAAAGUUUAAUUUAGGAAUGUUAAAUUCUAAAACCCUAAUAUUGUUUUGAAAAGUUCAACUCACACCCUUAUGGUUUUAUUAAUUAAUUAAGGUGUAUAAUUAAAAGAGGUUUAAUAAAUCCAUAAAAGUUUUGGUUUACAAUUUAAUUGAAUUAAAAGUAUAAUUAUUAAAUUGACCACAUAGUAUUUUAAAAGUGUAAAAUACACCCUAUGCUAUGUAUGAGUAAAAAGUCUGUCCAUUAUAUAUAUGUAUGAGUAAAAGUCAGUCUUACCGUUAGUAGGCCUCAUUCACGAAGCUGGUCUAUAAGGGGUGUUUAAGGAAAUUGCCUAUAAAAUGGCGAUUGAAUGGGUAUCCACUCUUACCCACCGCACUCUUGACUAGUGGAGGGUCGUUAGCCGAAUGGGUAGGAUAGGACAUAACUUUCCAUUAUAAGUAUAAUGAAGCACUAAAGUAACUAAAUGUUUUACAAAUUCCCAAUCUUAGAUACUUUAGGCAAAAGUGAAUUGAUGCAAUUCCAUGAAAUUACACUUUGUACCCUUGCAAAGACGUUAGUGGAGCGUGUGUGGUUUACCGGCACACUAAAUGGUUCUAAGCAAAGGUAGCAAAGGGUGACUCAAUGUUUGUCAUAGUUCGGUGGAGCGUGUGUGGUUUACCAGCACAUCGAAUAGGUGACUGUAACAUGUGGGGGCACCAUGUAAGUUUGCAUGGUUAUUCACACCCGCUUUGUGAUCCUCGGCAUCCCAGUCACAAACUAGAGGGGCAUAUCGAGAUUUAAAUAUGCCAUUGAAAAGUUCAAUAAAUCUCAAAGGAUCUAGGAGUUUUCAAUACAUUUCAAACUUAAUCGUUUUUCUGUUUUUCAUGGUGGAAAUUAGUGAAUCGU
rnacentral:lncRNA from 1 species